GGAUGUGAGGGCGAUCUGGCUGCAACAUCUGUCACCCCAUUGAUCGCCAGGGUUGAUUCAGCUGAUCUGGCUGGCUUAGGUGGGUGUCCCCUUCCUCCCCCCUCACUGCUCCAUGUGCGUCCCUCAUGAAGCUGCCCACUAGGUCGAAAAGGAUGGCCUUCCCCGAAUAGAGAGGGGAAACAGAUCUUUGUAAUAUUAUUGACUUUCUGAAUAGUGCAGGUAGCACUUUGAUUAAAAACUUUGAUUUUAAAAGAAAUAGACUUAGUUACUAGCUGAAACUUAUACUUAAUUUUGUUGAGUAACAAAUAAU
rnacentral:snRNA from 1 species